AUAUCACUAUAGUUUACCUACCACCAUUGCCAAAUCUCAAACCUUCUGAAAAAACCCUUUUUUAUCAGCAAUGGCCGCCCAAACAUACCUUCAGCUUCACCCUCUUCGAUGUCUUCCAUUUCCACUCAAGAUCCAAAACCCACAAAACCAAACCCAUCAUUUCAAACAAAAACCCAGAAAUCCAGUCGUCUGCAAGCUUCGAGUAGCUGUAAUCGGCGGCGGUCCAGCUGGGUCUUCAGCUGCAGAAGCUCUAGCCACUGGCGGAAUCGAAACUUUCCUCUUUGAACGAAGCCCAGCUACAGCCAAGCCAUGCGGCGGCGCCAUUCCACUAUGCAUGCUCGAUGAAUUCUCAAUACCUUUAAAUCUCAUCGAUCGCCGUGUCAUUCAGAUGCGAAUCGUUUCUCCGUCAAAUCUCGUCGUCGAUUUCGGUAAAACCCUAAAACCCCAUGAAUUCAUCGCAAUGCUCCGGCGAGAAGUGCUCGAUUCAUUCCUCCGGCAGCGGGCUGAAUCUAGCGGCGCCACUCUUCUCAAAGCACUGGUCACCAACCUCGUGGUCCCCACAUCCACACGCGAGCCGUACGUCAUUCACUACACCAUGGAUAACUGCCAGCAUCAGCUCGCCGUCGAUGUCAUCAUCGGCGCCGACGGAGCCAAUAGCCGUGUAGCUAAAUCGAUCAAAGCUGGAAAUUACACUACUGCCAUUGCUUUCCAAGAGAGGAUCAAAUUACCCGAGGACAAAAUGGGUAUUACGAAAAUUUAGCUGAGAUGUACAUAGGGAAUGACGUGUCACCCGAUUUUUAUGCUUGGGUAUUCCCUAAAUGCGACCACGUGGCAGUGGGGACGGGGACGGUCUGCUCAAAAUCCAAUAUCAAAUCACUUCAACACGCUAUCAGAACACGAGUCAAACCAAAAAUUGAAGGCGGGAAAGUGAUCAAAGUAGAAGCUCAUCCCAUACCAGAGCAUCCGCGCCCGGUUAGGGUCCGCGGACGUGUCGCUUUAGUAGGGGACGCAGCCGGAUACGUAACAAAAUGUUCGGGCGAAGGAAUAUAUUUCGCGGCGAAAAGCGGAAGAAUUUGUGGGGAAGCAAUAGUGAAGGCUUCAGAGGGUGGAGAGAACAUGAUCAAUGAAGACGACUUGAAAAGGGAAUAUUUAAGGAAAUGGGAUGACAAGUAUUUUACUACAUUCAAGUUCUUGGAUGUGUUGCAAAAAGUGUUUUAUGGUAAUAAUGCAGCAAGGGAGGCAUUGGUGGAGUUGUGUGGAGAUGAAUAUGUGCAAAGGAUGACAUUUGAUAGCUAUUUGUAUAAGAAUUUAGCUAGUGGGAAUAGGUGGGAAGAUGCUAAAAUGGUGAUGAACACAAUUUCAAGUUUGGUUAGGUGUAACAUUAUGGGGAGAGAAGUGGAAGCAUCUGCCCAAAAAAUUCUCUCAAGAGUAUAGGUUAUCUUAGUAGUCAAAUAUUUCAAUUUGGUUUAUGUUUACUAUUAUGUCAUUUGUUGUAUGUGUAACCAAGCUAGACUCUAUGUAUGUGUUUUCAUUACAUCUUAUUUCCUCUUGUCUUAACCUAUGGUAAGGAAAUAUUUAAUUUUGAUUAUAAAUUAAAUAGAGUA